AGAGUUUGAUCCUGGCUCAGAACGAACGCUGGCGGCGUGGCUAACACAUGCAAGUCGAACGCGAACGGCUCUUCGGAGCUUAUUAGAGUGGCGAAAGGGCGAGGAAUACUUGGGUAACGUACCCUACACACCGGGAUAACUGUGGGAAACUACAGAUAAUACUGGAUGAGACCACGACUCGUAAGAGUUGUGCUCAAAGGGCGGGGAUCUCUUCGGAGACCCGUUGGUGUGGGAGCGGCCCAAGUCCUAUCAGGUUGUUGGUGAGGUAAUGGCUCACCAAGCCUACGACGGGUACCGGGACUGAGAGGUUGAUCCGGCGCAUUGGGACUGAGACACUGCCCAGACUCCUACGGGAGGCUGCAGUAACGAAUAUUGGACAAUGAGCGAAAGCUUGAUCCAGCGAUGCCGCGUGUAGGAUGAAGUCCCUCGGGAUGUAAACUACUGUCAGGGACUACCAAGCAAGGACUGUUAAUACCGGUCUGCGUUGAGGAAUCCCAGAGGAAGCCACGGCUAACUUCGUGCCAGCAGCCGCGGUAAGACGAAGGUGGCGAGCGUUGUUCGGAAUUACUGGGCUUAAAGCGCAUGUAGGCGGAUCAUCAGGUGUCUUGUGAAAGCCCUCGGCUCAACCGAGGAACUGCUGGGCAAACCGAUGAUCUUGAGGCAGGUAGGGGCAACGGGAACUCUUGGUGGAGCGGUGGAAUGCGUAGAUAUCAAGAGGAACGCCAGAGGCGAAGGCGCGUUGCUGGGCCUGUCCUGACGCUGAGAUGCGAAGCGUGGGUAGCGAACGGGAUUAGAUACCCCGGUAGUCCACGCCCUAAACGAUGUCAACUAGAUCGAGGGUUCUCUGACGGAUUCUUGGUCGAAAUGAAAACGGUAAGUUGACCGCCUGGGGAGUACGGUCGCAAGGCUAAAACUCAAAGGAAUUGACGGGGGCUCACACAAGCGGUGGAGCAUGUUGCUUAAUUCGAUCAACGCGAAGAACCUUAUCCUGGGCUUGACAUAUUUGGAUGACCAUCUGGAAACAGAGUAGUCUGCUCUUCGGAGUGAAACUUAUACAGGUGCUGCAUGGCUGUCGUCAGCUCGUGUCGUGAGAUGUUGGGUUAAGUCCCGUAACGAGCGAAACCCUUGUCGUUAGUUGCCAGCGCGUUAUGGCGGGGACUCUAGCGAGACUGCCGGUGUUAAACCGGAGGAAGGUGGGGAUGACGUCAAGUCCUCAUGGCCUUUAUGCCCAGGGCUGCAAACGUGCUACAAUGGCGUGUACAAACCGACGCAAGACCGCGAGGUGGAGCAAAUCGGAAAAAACACGCCCCAGUUCGGAUUGGAGUCUGCAACUCGACUCCAUGAAGUCGGAAUCGCUAGUAAUCGCGUAUCAGCGUGACGCGGUGAAUGAGUUCCUGAGCCUUGUACACACCGCCCGUCAAGUCAUGGAAGCUGGUAGCACCCGAAGUCGCCCUAUUUCAGGGGUGCCGAAGGUGAGAUCGGUAACUGGGACUAAGUCGUAACAAGGUA
rnacentral:rRNA from 1 species